UGAUCAGCAAUGCCGCGUGAGUGAAGAAGGCCUUCGGGUUGUAAAGCUCUUUUGUCAGGGAAGAAACGGUGAGGGCUAAUAUCCUUCGCUAAUGACGGUACCUGAAGAAUAAGCACCGGCUAACUACGUGCCAGCAGCCGCGGUAAUACGUAGGGUGCAAGCGUUAAUCGGAAUUACUGGGCGUAAAGCGUGCGCAGGCGGUUUUGUAAGUCUGACGUGAAAUCCCCGGGCUCAACCUGGGAAUUGCGUUGGAGACUGCAAGGCUAGAAUCUGGCAGAGGGGGGUAGAAUUCCACGUGUAGCAGUGAAAUGCGUAGAGAUGUGGAGGAACACCGAUGGCGAAGGCAGCCCCCUGGGUCAAGAUUGACGCUCAUGCACGAAAGCGUGGGGAGCAAACAGGAUUAGAUACCCUGGUAGUCCACGCCCUAAACGAUGUCUACUAGUUGUCGGGUUUUAAUUAACUUGGUAACGCAGCUAACGCGUGAAGUAGACCGCCUGGGGAGUACGGUCGCAAGAUUAAAACUCAAAGGAAUUGACGG
rnacentral:rRNA from 1 species